rnacentral:rRNA from 1 species
AUACGUAGGGUGCGAGCGUUGUCCGGAAUUACUGGGCGUAAAGAGCUCGUAGGUGGUUUGUCGCGUCGUCUGUGAAAUUCCGGGGCUUAACUCCGGGCGUGCAGGCGAUACGGGCAUAACUUGAGUACUGUAGGGGAGACUGGAAUUCCUGGUGUAGCGGUGAAGUGCGCAGAUAUCAGGAGGAACACCGGUGGCGAAGGCGGGUCUCUGGGCAGUAACUGACGCUGAGGAGCGAAAGCAUGGGUAGCGAACAGGAUUAGAUACCCUGUUAGUCCAUGCCGUAAACGGUGGGCGCUAGGUGUAGUGGUCGUCCACGACUUCUGUGCCGUAGCUAACGCAUUAAGCGCCCCGCCUGGGGAGUACGGCCGCAAGGCUAAAACUCAAAUGAAUUGACGGGG